rnacentral:rRNA from 1 species
UACGAAGGGGGCAAGCGUUGUUCGGAAUUACUGGGCGUAAAGGGUUCGUAGGUGGCCAACUAAGUCAGACGUGAAAUCCCUCAGCUUAACUGGGGAACUGCGUCUGAGACUGGAUGGCUUGAGUGCAGGAGAGGAACGCGGAAUUCCAGGUGUAGCGGUGAAAUGCGUAGAUAUCUGGAGGAACACCGGUGGCGAAGGCGGCGUUCUGGACUGCAACUGACACUGAGGAACGAAAGCCAGGGGAGCAAACGGG